GGGGAUAAAGCUCAGUGGUAGAGUGCAUGCUUAGCAUGCAGGAGGCCCUGGGUCCAAUCCUCAGUACCUUCA
rnacentral:tRNA from 1 species